AUGCCUGAAUGGGAAGAAAGGAAAUCCCUGCUAGCUCAGAGAAGAGUGGAGUCUGUCAGACUGCUUACAGUGCUGUUAAAUCGUGUGAAAUUGGCAAGUCAAAAAGUGGAUCCUUCACUGGGUAUAAAGGACGAUUCAUUUUCUGAAACAGUAUUUAAAGACAUACAGCAGGAGCUGAUUAACUCCCUUUAUCGUACGCACAAAGAGCUGACACGUAAGGAGUUUAAGUGCCCCUUAACCCAAAAAGGUAGUGGUUUAUGUUGUGAGGAAGGAGAUGUGAGUAACUUCUAUGCGCCUCCUUGUCACAUAGUCAGGACAAUUUUAAAUGAUCCCUCUCCAGCCCCGAGCUCUGAUGGACUGCCUGGCAGAGAUGUGUGCACCUCCUCCGCCAAAGGCUGUGGGCCUUUGCUGAUCACGGUUACGCAGGACGGCAGGGUCAUCGAACCUCUCCAUGGAAGGCACCACCCAGCACUGGAUGUAGCUCACACACAGACAUUGUCCGAGGAAGAUGAUUGCAAAAAGCAAAAGGUUUAUGAGACUGAUGAAUUCAUCCAUUAUUUACUAAACUACUAUCAGACACCACACUACGCACGUGUUUGCCUAGAGCCAAAAACCACUGCGAACAAUUCCCGGUGGAAGCGAGUGGUGUGUGAUGAUGGUAGUGGGUUUGACAUCAGCUUGAGUAACAAACAUGGUCAGCACUUCAGAGAAGUGAGUCCUGUACAAAACCUCCAAAAGAGAAAUUGUAGUAGUGAUAGUAAUUAUAGGCUGGUGAUAUCUCUUGGGGAACGUGAGUCCACAGACAAAGUGUUAGAAAGCAAGGUCCAUGGGGGCAAGCUUGCAAAAAAGCUGCAAGUGCAGAGGAAUAACUCACUCACUGUUGAUAACUUACCACAUGUUGGACUGAAUCAUUCUUUGGAGUGCACUACUGUUACUCACAAUAAGGAAUUCAAAAAAGAAGAUGGUAGAGAUGAAGGCACUGUACCAUAUGGAAGUAGAUCUGCUUGCAGAUUAAAGGAUUUGUUGGAAGAGAUCAGUGAUUCUGGGUACUUUAGAGAGGCACGUGGUGGCUCAGUGAAGAGAGCAGAAAGAAGAGACGGACAGUUGCAUGCAGCUGGAGUCGCUCAGAAAGAUACAGAGAAAAUGUAA
rnacentral:lncRNA from 1 species